GACGAACGCUGGCGGCAGGCCUAAUACAUGCAAGUCGAACGAGUGGCGGACGGUUGAGUAAUGUCUGGGAAACUGCCCGCUGGAGGGGGAUAACUACUGGAAACGGUAGCUAAUACCGCAUACCAUCGGCUUUGCCCAGAUGGGAUUAGCUAGUCGGUGGGGUAACGGCUCACCUAGGCGACGAUCACUAGCUGGUGUGAGAGGAGGACCAGCCACACUGGAACUGAGACACGGUCCAGACUCCUACGGGAGGAAGCAGUGGGGAAUAUUGCACAAUGGGCGAAAGCCUGAUGCAGCCAUGCCGCGUGUAUGAAGAAGGCCUUCGGGUUGUAAAGUACUUUCAGCAAGGAGGCGGUACUCGCAGAAGAAGCACCGGCUAACUCCGUGCCAGCAGCCGCGGUAAUAC
rnacentral:rRNA from 1 species